rnacentral:rRNA from 1 species
CCCUUAGAUGUUCUGGGACGCACGCGCGCUACACUGAUGCAUUCAACGAGUCUAAAACCUGCUCUGAUAGGGGUGGGUAAUCUUUUGAAUGUGCAUCGUGAUUGGGAUAGAUGAUUGCAAUUUUUCAUCUUCAACGAGGAAUGCCUAGUAAACGCAAGUCAUCAGCUUGCAUUGAUUACGUCCCUGCCCUUUGUACACACCGCCCGUCGCUCCUACCGAUUGAAUGAUCCGAUGAAUAUCAUGGAUUGAGGAUGCAAGCAGGUUCGCCUGUCUUCAUCUUCGAGAAGUGAAGUAAAUCUUAUCAUUUAGAGGAAGGAGAAGUCGUAACA